UGAAGAACUGGGCACAGCCCACGAU
rnacentral:miRNA from 1 species